UGCUGGAUAGCUCAGUCGGUACAGCAUGAGACUCUUAGUCUCACGGUUAUAGGUUCGAGCCCCAGAUUGAGCAA